GAGAGGACCGGGAUGGACGAACCUCUGGUGUGCCAGUUGUUCUGCCAAGAGCACGGCUGGUUGGCUACGUUCGGAAGUGAUAACCGCUGAAUGCAUCUAAGCGGGAAGCACGUUUCAAGAUGAGGUUUCCCACCACGUAAGUGGGUAAGGCCCCCCACAGAACAUGGGGUUGAUAGGCCGGAGGUGUACAGCAGCAAUGCCCAGCCGACCGGUACUAAUAGGCCGA
rnacentral:rRNA from 11 species